CACGUAGGCACCAAGCGUUGUCCGGAUUUAUUGGGCGUAAAGCGUGCGCAGGCGGUUUGUUAAGUCUGAUGUGAAAGCCCCGGGCUCAACCUGGGAACUGCAUUGGAAACUGGCAAGCUCGAGUAUGGCAGAGGGGGGUGGAAUUCCGCGUGUAGCAGUGAAAUGCGUAGAGAUGCGGAGGAACACCGAUGGCGAAGGCAGCCCCCUGGGCCAAUACUGACGCUCAGGCACGAAAGCGUGGGGAGCAAACAGG
rnacentral:rRNA from 1 species